GUUAUAUCACAUUGAAACACAGGUUCUCAUCUAAUCACCAAAGUUAAGCAACAUUGAACAUAGUCAGUACCUAGGUGAGUGACUGCUUGGGAAUACCAGGUACU